rnacentral:rRNA from 1 species
CCUACGGGAGGCAGCAGUGAGGAAUAUUGGUCAAUGGUCGGGAGACUGAACCAGCCAAGCCGCGUGAGGGAUGAAGGUACAGAGUAUCGUAAACCUCUUUUGUCAGGGAACAAAGGCGGGGACGCGUCCCCGGAUGAGUGUACCUGAAGAAAAAGCAUCGGCUAACUCCGUGCCAGCAGCCGCGGUAAUACGGAGGAUGAGAGCGUUAUCCGGAUUUAUUGGGUUUAAAGGGUGCGUAGGCGGAUUUUUAAGUCAGCGGUAAAAGGUCCGGGCGCAACCCGGGCCGGCCGUUGAAACGGGGGAUGUGGAGUGGGCGAGAAGUAUGCGGAAUGCGUGGUGGAGCGGUGAAAUGCAUAGAGAUCACGCAGAACUCCGAUUGCGAAGGCAGCAUACCGGCGCCCGACUGACGCUGAGGCACGAAAGCGUGGGGAUCGAACAGGAUUAGAUACCCGAGUAGUC